AGUGUGGGCUGGGGCGGGCAGCAGGCAGGACACGUGGAAACGCAACCGCCAGGAGGAAAGGCGGGACACAGCGGGAAGGGAGGUUUGCCUCCCCUCUCUUCCUGUGGUGACCCCCACCUCACUUACAAAAAUCACCACCGACGUUUGGGAACCGUGCACGCCGACUGAAAGCAAAGCUCAGCUGACCUGCGAGGAGUCCCCGGGGAGCUGCCGCGGUGGUCGCCGUUGAGUCCGUCCGUGCCGCUGGGGCCGAGGCAGCUGGAGACACAGGUUUAUUUCAACACUGGGAAGGCUCCAUUCCUACUUAAACCCAGCAGGGAACAGGGAGCGGUGUGCAGAGGAGGUGGCCUGCCCGGGAAGCCGGCCUUGGUGCUGGGACUGCAGGGAGAGGGCUGUGAGGAAGAGCACAGGCUUCAUGCACAUUGCACAGAGGAGGAGAUUCAUGGGGACAGCAGGCACUGGUUAGGCACAGCGGGAAGGUUAUCGAAGACAAAACACAUUUCUACCCAAGUUUAAAUGACCUGCUAUGCCCACAGAGCUUGAUCCAGAAGUGCACAGGUAAGUAUUUAGCAGGCUGGCCGAUGUUGAUUUGAACAAUCUCAAGAAUGUGCUCUUUAGUGCAUUAAACAUAUGUGACGA
rnacentral:lncRNA from 1 species